UACGUAGGGCGCAAGCGUUAUCCGGAAUUAUUGGGCGUAAAGAGCUCGUAGGCGGUUUGUCGCGUCUGCCGUGAAAGUCCGGGGCUCAACUCCCGGGAUCUGCGGUGGGUACGGGCAGACUAGAGUGAUGUAGGGGAGACUGGAAUUCCUGGGUGUAGCGGUGAAAUGCGCAGAUAUCAGGAGGAACACCGAUGCGAAGG
rnacentral:rRNA from 1 species